CUUCCAACACUGCAUUUGUGGGUCAACACAUUGAAGAACUGAUAUAACAAAUCAUUCACAUUUCACUCAUUUGAAGCAUGAAGACAAAAAGGAACUAGUGAAAAGCAAUCUUUACUUUUCUAUUUUCCCCCUCCAACACUGCAUUUGUGGGUAAACAAAAUCAUUCACAUUUCGCACAUUUGAAGCAAGAAGUCAAAAAGGAACUACAAACUUUCUCGCUUAUAACCUUGAAUAACAGAGGUAAUAUCAAGGCUGGUCACUAAACCGAUAAAGAAAGAGGGUUAAGAGUUUAAGGCUCUACCGGGG
rnacentral:misc_RNA from 1 species